GUAGUUAGCCGGGGCUUUCUUACAGGGUACCGUCACUUCUUCGUCCCCUGCGACAGAGGUUUACAAUCCGAAAACCUUCUUCCCUCACGCGGCGUUGCUGGGUCAGGCUUGCGCCCAUUGCCCAAUAUUCCCCACUGCUGCCUCCCGUAGGAGUCUGGACCGUGUCUCAGUUCCAGUGUGGCCGAUCAGCCUCUCAGCUCGGCUACCCAUCGUCGGCUUGGUGGGCUGUUAUCUCACCAACUACCUAAUGGGACGCGAACCCCUCUAAAAGCGAUAAAUCUUUGACCUCUUCCCGAUGCCGGGUUGUGGUCUUAUGCGGUAUUAGCAGUUGUUUCCACCUGUUAUUCCCCACUCUUAGGCAGGUUGUUCACGCGUUACUCACCCGUGCGCCACUAGAAUUAUCAAUUCCAUCCGAAAACUUCCUUAAUAAUCCCCGUUCGACUUGCAUGUGUUAGGCACGCCGCCAGCGUUCGUCCUGAGCACGAUACAACUACUAGA
rnacentral:rRNA from 1 species